rnacentral:rRNA from 1 species
AUGCAGUUGCAGUACCUACCUCUGGAGCGCCACGGGCGAAUCAAGUCGAGGAGGGGCGAAGAACACUUGCAGAGGAGAAGAAGAGUUAUCUCCAAGAAAACCCAGCCCAAGGGAAAGGUAUCUCGGAUCACUCGAUCAUCUUGCCUGAAACAAAACAGAAAUUUCACCUUGUCAUUUUGUGUUAGAGCUCUGCAACGGGAUGCACUGCCAAGAGACAGAGCAGAAGAUGGGUGGCGUAAUGAAUGUGCCAUUCAGGCAUUACAUAUACAACAUUUCCAUAAGGCCUCGUUUGGUAGGAGAGGGUCGAGGGGGUUUUGA